GAAGUCUAGGACAAAACCAAGAGAAGGGUCUCUUUCGUCCAGAGCCUCCACAGGAGAAAGGCCACCAGGCCAGGACAGUUCCAAUGAGCGUGAAGGUGAGAAAAUAUACCUGGGUGGUGGUUCAGCCAUGGGGGCCAAGCUGGUGCUAAUGCCAAGAAAGGUAAAUGUGGGACAAGCCAAGGCAUGUGACUCAACAAAGAAUUAGAAUCUUGGGAACCAAACAAAGUAGACUUCAACCAGUACUUACAGAGAAAAAUCAGGUCUACAGUUGCAGGUCCUCAAUCUCAGAGACCAAGAUGCUUGAAAACUGAACACUUUGGGUGGCUAAACCUGUCCUGAGUUGUGUGAGGCUCUUGUAAUCUUGAUUCAUACCUCUGAAGGGGAUUCAUACCUCUGAAUAUUCAUACAGUUUUUGCCAUAGAAAUACUCAAAUGUUUGGUUAUGGAUAAUGCUGGUGGUAUGAAAUCAUGCAGAGGAUGCAAAUACAUUACAUGUAUGAAACCCCAAAGCCUAAAUUUCAAAACACAUCUGAUCCCAUGGGUUUCAAGGGCGAGGGUCACACAUGUUCUUCCGUUAUCUGAUGUAAUCCUCACAAAUCUUCUUGAGAGGCAGGUUUUAUCUACCUAUCUUACAGAUGGAAAAAUAGGAUAGGGAGAAAUUCAUCUGGCCAAGGUCCCAAAAAACAGUGUGCAAAAAAAGUAACAGUGUGAAGUUUGAACCCAAAAUAUUCACAGCCAGCUCCUGAGCCCAAGCCAUGCAUUGUGCUGAGGGGACUGUGGAGCGGCAGGCUGUGGCCCCACACAGGGAGCUCAGGGAGUUCAGGGAGGCUUCUCAGGAGACCUCAGAUCCUCCGUGCCUUAUGCUGCCCUGCCCCUACCUCCCCAAAGUUGUUGUGUGGCUUAUUAAAAAAAAAAAAAAACAGCUGGACUAGAGCCUCCUAUUUGCAUGAAAUUCUAGAAAUGUCACUUUCAAAUGAAGUGACCCUUUGAAGUCUUGCAGGGGUUGUCAGAACCCCUGUAGGCCAGGCAUUUUGACCCCUGCAUGAGUCUCAGGUCCUCUGUGAUGCUGAUGAAAAUGGAAACUGUCUCCACAGGAGGCAACGUGUAGGACGACUCCCCAGUUGACAUUCCUGGGUCUGUCAGGGGAUCUCGUCCCUGAAUCCAAGAUAAAGAAUCUCUGGUCUUGGCUUGUAGGAGAUAAGUACAUUUUCCAUGAUAGAAUGAAUAGCAAAGGUCAACUUUAAAGACCAAAGAUCAUUUCAAUUAAUAUAAUUCAGUGGUUCAAUGUAGAUAUCAUUGCUACAGAAGCCUGGAAUUCCCUGGCCAAAGGGUGUGUGUGUGUGUGUGUGUGUGUGUGUGUCUGACACACACACAGAGCUCAUGCAAGCGCUCAUGCAUUCGAGUGUUGGGAGAAGAUGCGGUAAUUAUUCUGUAUUUGGGGGAAAGUGACCCAUACAGGCAUUAUUAAACCUUUACUGCCUCUGCUCUUAUAAACGACCAACUGACCAGAGCUAAAAGCAGGCUUACUUACAGUAGAAGUCACUUGUAGUUCCAGGGUCUUGUAAUUAUCUUUUGUCUAUGUGGGCUUGGAGGCUUCAGAUCUCCUGGGCAGAUUUCUUACCAUCAUUUGCAAUACUCAAACUUGCAAACACCCUGACAAGGCCCAACUAUAAAGAAUCUCCAGCUGGCAUCUUAACUGUCUAGUUUAUCCCCCCUCCCCUCACUCUUUUGAUUUACUAGGGUUAUAAGCCAUUAUUUUCUGAAACUAAAUGUUUCCUAGUCUUUUAUAUCUCUGGUUUGAUGGUUCUGAUAACCUGCUCCCGGGAGAAUAAAACUGGAAAUGAUGAAUAGAAGCCUGCUCAUCAUUAGCCAGAGCAGAAAACAACUCCUCAGAAAUUCAAAAAGUUGAUAAUGGCAGAUUUUGUUUUUUACAUGAUUACCUUUAUGACAGUCCUGUCACUCCACAUCCAGUACAAUAUAUCCAGGCUGGCUUUUUCUCUGACAGGGGUAUCCAUGGUUCAUGACACUGGACCUAGUUGUAGUUCUGAUUUGUGCAUUUGGUAAUUGAUAGAAACUAAUGGUGCAUGCGUUUUGGACAUAAAAUUUAAAAAGUUGGCAUGUUCACACAAAAUGCGUAUGUGUCCCUCAUUUUUCCAUGUUAAUAUAGAAGAUUAAAUGAUAAGUGCAAUUGAGCAAAAGUGGUUAAGUUCUUGGACUCUGGAGUUAAUCCAACCUGGGUUGGAAUCUUGAAUCCUUCACUUAUCAGCUACAUGAAAGUUGAUAAGUUACUUCAUCUCUCUGCCUCAUUCUCAGAGAUUAAAAUUAGUACUGCCCCAAAGAGAAGUCUUAAGGAUUAAAUGAGAUAAUGCACAUAAAGCCCUCAGCCCAGUGUCUUGUUCAGUACAUUUGCUAUCAUUAUCUCUCAGGAUAGUAAUGAUUUCCAAGCUCUGUUCUCCCACAAGACCCAUUUGCAGCAACAUUUAGGCAUAAAUUCAGCUGAAUCCCAAGAUGUGCCUAAAUAUAUAUGUGUAGUGUUUCUCUCAGUUCUGAGAGAAUUAGUGGGUAGAUGGGGUGUGGGGGCAAUUCUCAUAUUAUCACAUUGCUUUGCCUGAGAGGUGAGAUUUCAAGCCUCUGUUACAGCCCUGAAGGGACUCUGUGUGUUUCUGCUAAACUGAACUGAACAGGGAGACAAAGAAAAUGAUCAUGCUCAUUGCACUCACCCAUAUCUUGUGCCUCGUCCUUCUCUGCUCAUCACUGGGGUGGACUUGGAAGAUCUAUCUAGUCCAGGGCAGAGCACUUUGGGGAGUCGGGUGGCCCUCCCCAAAACCCAGAGAUGCCUGCUUUAUCUGGACUGAUUCUGGGGACUCCGCCGUGCUGUCACCUGGCUCUGUGGGGAGUUGGACUGGAGACUGGAGACCUGGACCUCUGGCCUCAGCAGGCAGGCUGCCUGAGAGGGGCGCCGCUGGCCCUGCUUCAUGUCUCGGUCAGCCUUACGUAGCUUGGAGCCUAAAACCACCUGUGUUAUUCCAACUGAAAUCCAAUAAAUAUCUGGAAGAAAAUCGCCCCAUUUGGAAACCUGUAGGAAACUCAGACAAUACUUUUCCUGGUUUGGCCAAAGUGGGAAAAUUUCAGUUUCUUUGGAAGUUCAUAAAAUUUAAAAAAACGUGCGUCACACCAAGGCAGAGGUUCCAGAAGGAAAGAAGGUUGGAUAAGACCAUAUUCAAAUUGGCUCAGCCAAAGCUAAUACUGAGAGCCUUUCCAUUGUGCCGGGGUGCCCUGGAGAGGGAAGAGGGCAUUUUCAUGAGGACACACAUAGGCACUUUCCCGAUGGUUGCUAAUGAGAAAACGUGUAAUAGGUUUAGCUUUUAAGAAUGAGACUCAGUAACAAAUAGCCCUGUUCCAGGCAUCAAUAUUAAGCAAGAUUUUCAUGACUGCCUUAUUACUGAUGAUAAAUUUUGGUAUAGUUUAGUUGUGUCCCCACACGCAAAGUUCAGAUGUAAAAUCAGUUACAAUCAACUUGCAGAGCAUGCCCAGAAUUUUCCAUGGCUUCAGUUCUUCUCAUGGCAUACAGUGGUGCAAAACUAACAAAAAUACCUAAAUCAAAAAAAAAAAAAAAAAAAAAAAACUUUUUCCUGGCAGACCUGUAACCAGUAAUAACAUCUAAUAUGCAACUGUGGACAGUAAUUUUCCAGAAUAUGGAUAACCUGAAGGAAUUUGCAGGACUACUUGUCCAUGUCUACUCUUACCACUUUUUUUUUAACUUGAUAUUUUUAUUUUAUAAAAAGAAGUGCCCAGAUGUCUUGUUUACUUGUCCUUGUGUACUUUCUCAUACUCGUGCAAACUAGGCUUCUAGUAUUUAUUCAUUUGGGGAACUUUAUUAUUAUAAGACUUGUGGCUAAAGGGGAAAAAACACGAAGUGCAUUGAAUUACUUACAGCAGAGAGCGAUAUUGUUAUUACUAUACCAGGAACAAAAACAAAUCAACAGGCUGGAUCAGGACACGUGGGCUCCAUCUCAUGUGUCUCCCGGAAGCCCACUGGCAUCUGAGGACAUCUCUGUGCAAUGACUGCUCAGGUCUAGCCAGCUCUGGAUGGUGGGGGCAGUGGCUGCAGUGCAGAGAAAGAGGCCUGGGCAUCAGCCUUUCUGCGUAGCAAAUUUCCUGUCUUUGACCCUGUUCGAACUCUCUGGUUUUCCUCAUUUCUAUCAGGAGGUAAUAAUAAUAGUGUCCCAGAGCAUGGUUAGGGAGUUUGGGUUCAGAGUUAAAAGAAAUCUUGUGCUGCAAAGCGCUUACCCCUGACACUCAACACAGAGGACUUACUGUGUGUGGUGUACUGCACAGCUCUAUCUCACACCAAAUAGCAACCUAGAAAAACUCUACAGCCAGAUCACUGUGCCGCUUUGGGCAAGUCACUUAACCUCUCUGUGCCUUGUCCAUAACACCAUGAUAGUGACAUUCACAACAUAGGAUUUUUGUAAGGAUUUAAAAAAUCCAGAUGGGAAUAAUUCCACUGUUGGUGUGCACUGAGGAUCUAUCUGUUCAGUGACACUCAGUAAUGGGUGUCAGUUACUGAAGCAAAGUGCUUUGCCCCGUUAUUACUUUUCAUCUGCACAGUAGCCUCUGAGAUACUGUCCCCGUUCUUAUCCCCAGUUUACAGAUAAGAAAACUGAGAGCAUUGUCCAAAAUCACACAUGCAGCCUGUGGUGAAAGCAAGGUUGGAAGAGGUCUAGUGGCUCUAAAGCCUGCUGGUUCUCCAGUCUGUGCUGAGCCUGAGUCCCCACAAAUGCUAAGGUGCUUCCAGGCAGGACCAGGCACUAACACCCGGAGGAAACCGACCCAGGACCUGGAGCACUGGCAGCUCUUCAAGCCCCUGCUCCCAGGCUGAUGAGCACCCCAACACCCUCAUCUGCAAGCCAGAUCCAGGGCUGAGCGAAGCGGCACUGUCAAGAGGCCACUGCAUACACUCUGCUUAAAAGUCAAGCACUUUUGAAAACAUCUGCUUGAGAUCAUGUGCCACUGAUUGAGAUGAAAAACAAACUGAGCUGCCAAGCAACGGUGGAAGGAGGAAGAGGAGAAAAGAACUAGCGACAAACAAGCAGUUAGCACGUGGCUGCAGAUGGUCACAGUAAGAGCCUGCCUGAGAAAAAGAAUCAGUUACGAUGACGAGGUUUUUGCCAAAAGUUACUUUAUGUUCCAAUAUGGAAAAUAUAAAGAACUUUUUUUUUUCACUGAAUUGCACAAAUCCAUAGGCCUAGUUUUCUCGUGGGAAAUUUCUUGAAUUCGUUGGUUCCAUCUCAGCACUGUCAUCCAGUGCCUCUGAGGGGGGUGGGUGCCUGACUUCAGCAGCCAAAAACUCCCUGGCUUGGUCCUCAUCUCCCUGCUGGUGGCACGCCGGAGGGCAGCUUCCCGCUCCAGCCAGCACCCAUAUCAGGACACACAACAGACCCCAGCUGGCAGGGCUUUGGAGAAGUUCUGCCACGGACUUUCCAGGUCACACAGAUGGUGAGAGGCAGAGCAGAAGUUGAAAUCCAGGCAGCCCGGGGCCCACGCCACCCUGGCAACCUCUGCUGCUUCUCUGUGAUGAAUGUUACCUUAUCUGAGCAGGACUGGCACGCCUGCCUCAGAAAGCACUGGUUACCCUUUGCUUCGGGGCCCUGUGUUGUACUAAAGUCCACAGCAUCCUCUCCCCUCCCCCACUGCCGGCUCCAACCCAAAGUGAACAUGACUUAGAACUCAGAGCCAAAGUUCCAUUCUCGUGCUCAGCCUCAAAGUAGAUGAGGUGCUCCAGGGGAGGAGGUUUACUUGACAAGAGCUUAAGGAGGGAUUCAGAUUCAUGGGAGUUUUAACAAGCCAGACCUGGCUUUGGCCACUGGAACCGUGCUCAAAGCUCACCCAUGAAUGCUUUCAUUGUCUCAGAGGAAGGAGAGACUUACCAGGCACCUAACAGCCUGGCCACCUCUUAUCUUGCUGAAGUAUCUUUGGCCAGGUUUCUCCAUCACCUUCAUUCCCCACAUCUAACUGAUCAUCUCUGCUCUGUAGAAAUUCCAUAGGUUCCUGUCCCUCUGCUUUUAUUCCUCUGACUUUGCCCUAACCUUGCCAAUCUUCUUGUUUCCACUCCCAUUUGCUCAUCCACCCUAUUCACAAAAGUCUGACCAUCUCUUUCUAUCCUCGCAAAAGUUCAGAACUUCCCAUGACCCGUAUGAUCAAAGCUCAGAUUUUUUUAUUGUCAAAUUCUCAUGCUGCCGUGAGCUGAUCCUUACCCAACUGCAUGAAUUAUUUACUCCAAACUACUAUAGUCCUCCUGGCCCAUAAGAUGGUCUUCUCCAGUGAGGUUUAGGCAAGAUGGGCCUUUAUUCUGGCUCUACACUUAAGAGAUCCUGCUCUGGCCUUUGGUGGACUUUCCUCCUAGGGUGAAGAAUUGGGAGAGCCAAGAGAAUGUGUCCACCCUGGAGCCAGAAUGCCCUGCCCCAGUGGCCCAAUAGCAGUUUUCAUGGUCUGGAUGGUGGUAAAAUGGACUGAGCUUUGAUUUGCAGGCUGGGAUAUCCACACAUGUGUGUAUGAGGCUCCUUACAGCACAAGGUGGACCUGGGGUGGGGGAAGAGCCAGGGACUGACUCUCCCACAUCAUUGCCAAGUUCUAGAAUGCUAAGGGGUUUAAGGAUCAAAAAUCUUAAGCUGGUGAUUAUAGGGCAUAUUUUUCAAGUAAAAGGAUAGAACAUAUGCUGUUUGUUAAUUUGUAACUUCAAAGUAAUAGAACACGUUUUAUUUAAAAGUCUAUAAUUUGACUUAUGAUUUUAAAAUAUAUUAAGACAAUGUUUAAAAAUAUUAAGACAAUAUUAGGGUGCAUGGGUUCCACUUGGAUUCCUGUUCCAGGCUUGCAAAUAUUAGGAGCUCACCUUCCCCACACUUCUCUCUCCAUCAAUUGCCAUUGUAGUCAUCUUUUAAGCCACAGGUCAAAUCUUACUUCUACCGUAAAGCCCUCCCUGACCACCUCAGUGGUAACUUAUUUCUCUCUGUGCUUCCUUCAUUCACAGAUAAUCUACUAGUGCCAAGCACUGUGUUGGGAACUAAAAAUACAGAUAUGAAUGAACAUACCCUACUGACCAAUGAGCUGUCACCCUAGGAACAAGAGCCACAGAAUGAAGCCCCCACAGCCUAUCAGUACCGCCAGUUAGACACAUCCAAACUCUACCCCCAACAUGUCCUCUGAUAAAACCCCAUUCAAGACACCAUGAUGUCCACCCAAGAAUGCGCCUCUAUUGUGGCACUUAGGGCUCAUUCCCCACCAGCUGCCUUAAGAACCCUCUGCUCUGCUUAAAACCCUCUGAUGGCUCUCAACGACCACUAAGAUAAAACUCAGCCUCCAUUGACCUCGCCCCCAUUGACCACUCCAGCCCAUCUCCUGGUUCUCUCCCUGUCAUCCUCUCUACUUCAGGGACUUUGGGAGCCUACCCUGGCUUCUGUCCACUCUCAUACCUUUCAUUCCCGUCUCGCAUGCCCUUAACCUUUCAUUCCCAUUGCCAAGAAAUGUCUUACCCUAGGUUUCCAUGUGGCCUCUUCUCUCUCCUUACUCAUUUCUCAGUUCUAGAAAGAAAGUUUCUUAAUUAAAGCACCUCCAAGUCCCUACUAUGUCAUUACCCUAUUUUAUUCUCUCCAUGUGUUUACAUUUUGCUGUCUGUUUUCCCCUCUUGAGUUGGAUCCCACCAGAACAAAGACUUUGAUUUACUUACACUGUCUCCAUGAUGCAAAGAACAGUCAGUGAAUGGCAUGUAGUUGGUGCUCUGUAGAUGCAUGAUGGAUAGAUGGAUGGGUGUAUGGGUACAUGGGUGGAUGGACAGAUGGAUGUGUGGGUGGGUGGAUGGAUGGGUAGAUAAGUGGAUGGAUGGUGUAUGCACUAAAGGGUAGAAUGUGCAGGUGCUGCAGGAGCCAUAGAGAGGCAUAUGUCUUUACCUAGGGAAAGGAGUUUUGAUUAUACUUAGGCUUGGGGAGGAGACAACAGUGGGGUAUGUGAAGACAUGAACAGGGGCGACACUACAGUGCGUCAUACUAGAGUUUAAACUUUAGUCUUAGAGGCAGGAGAAACCACUGAAGAGUUCCAGAAGGACAUGAUCAGAAUUGUAUCUUGGAAAAAUAAUGUGGGACAGCUGUGUGAGAAGGUGCCAGAGAAGGAAGCAAGGAUUCCAUCCAAGUGAGCCUAACAUGGAGAAGAAGUGAGGGAAGUGUUAGCCAGCAAAUCUGAACUUGAGCCUCCUCUCAUGCGUAGCCAGGGUGAAAAAUCAGGCUAAGAGGACAACUGGACAAGGAGGAGCAGGGGAACUGGGGCUGUUUAGGGUGACUGUCAGCUUUCCGAUUAGACACAACCUUUCUUACCCCAGAUUCCUGCACGGAAUCGAACUUUAGUGUCUGGAGGUAUCUAUUUUAUAUAGUGGAUUUACUUCCUUUCUAAGCAUCUAGAAUGGUUCUAGACAUAUGCCAUUGCUGAGAUAAUCAAGAAAACAUUCAUGAGGACUCCGUUACUACUAGCAGUAGUCAUAGUAAUUUGAAUGGUUGGGUGGAGAAGCAGAACUGAAUUACCCUCAUGAUGGAAGAAGGGAUUUUUCAAAGAGAAGUCUCUGAGUGGGGUGUUGCUGUGAUAGAUUAUGAUGGCCCCUUCACUCAUCAGAGUGACAGCAAUCCAUUGCAUGAGCCAGUUUCUUGAAAGUGGUCAAUAGAUCCUAUAUCCAAUAAACGAUUUCUGUAUAGUCCACCAUUAAAACAAAAUCCCUCUUUCUUUUUCCAGUGAUGUGAAUUUAAUUUGUUCUCAUUUAUUAAAGCUACUUCCUGGGACUUGAAAAUGCUUUCUAAAUGUUCAUUUCAUUUUUACAUUCGCAAUCCAUUCCCUUCAACAUGCCUUUCUGCAGAUUGAAUUGCUUGCUAAAUUUGAAAGAGAUCAAUAAAUAGCAGCAGAAACUACAGGAGGUCAUUUAAUUUUUUUUUAUUAACAGUGCCAAUAAAUCUGAGCCUAUUUUCUUCAAAUAAAUCAGCUGGAAAUGAAAAAUUGCUUUUUGGACAAUUUACAAGGUUAAGUCUAAAAAUAAAAUUUUACUUUCAUCAUGACAAAGCCUCAACAGAACUUCCUUAGUACUGAAUUUAUGUUCCCCAUUUGCCUAGCUGUGUAUAAGGAAAUGAAAAGAUUUGAAACAGAAGAGAGAGAAAUGAAAAAUACAGUUGAUAGCAGUCCUCUGCAUUUAAAGGUGUUACAGUACUAUGAUAAUUCUGAUUUUUAGGCAACAUUUUUAUUGGUAAGUUUCAUUUUGAACAGGAAUAACCUCUUACAGAAUUCACUAUGGCUACAUAAGGCAUGAGAGUGAAGGGAGCCCCUGACUUCUGAUUUGAUUUGAGUUUCCCUACACAAGGGGAUAUUGCUCUGGCUACAACCCAGAGCAUAUUUUUUUCCCUUGGUGAUUGUGAACAGUGAUUCAUUAGCUAAUUAGAAUUUCAAAGGGCAGUGAUAACAGUGGUGAGCAGAAGGAAAGGAGAGGAGAAGUUCAAGUCCAUCACAACACUUGGAAGUCACAGGCUUUUCCUUGCCAUCUCUUUGUUCUGGAAGAUUCCUCUCCCUGCAGGUCUCUAAGACUGUUUUCUUCUUGCUCCUUUCCCCCAUAGGAGCCUUCUUUAUAAUUUUUCCCUUUAUUUUCUUUCUCCAGCCUCUUUUUUCAUAUUUUUUCACUACCCAUAAAAUUAAACUGUGAAAAAUAUUAAUAUUUUCCUUUAUAAAGUUUGAUUUUCCUUCUUAAAUUCAAGUUAAACUUUUGUCUCCCUCCUAAUCCAAGAUCCUUCUGGGGCAGAGGGAGGGGGGGCAAUACCUUGGUUUUGUAUUUCCUCCCCUGUAUCAGUGGGCCAAAGUAUAAAAUGGACUCCCAGGAAAAUCCUUGGGUAACUUAGGAGGAGUGUGAAUUUGUGCAGAUACAGCAACAAUUACGAUUUUUUUUUUCCCCAGACACAAUCAAUAUCCCUAUGAUUAAUAGCCUAGCAACAUGAAAAUAUUUUAUAAAAUUUCCUACUUGCCUUAAUUAAAAAUUAAGAAUCAAGCUAUUCCACGGGCAGAGAACCUGCCAGCACCCAGCUGGGUGUGACUCUCGCUGCAGGCUCCUGAACUGGAAAGAAAAAUGGGCUCCACCCUUGGGGAUGGGGGAAGAGGCCAAGGGUACUUAAUGCCAAGUGCAUGUCACCUGGCUUUGACCCCUGGAGUUGCUCAGCUCUUGCACCAAGAACAAUUGCAUUAGCCUCUGACUUCUUGAAAGAUGUCUAGCCUCUUGAAAGAUCUGCAACUGGUUUGUCAAGUAAAUACUAAUGACACUAUGGCUAUGACUAUAUAUGCUACAUUGUCUCACACAUGAGGAAAUGCUGAACAAAUAUUUAAAAUUGUUUUGUUCCCAUCACCUUAUAAAUGGGACUAUUGGGAGGAAAGGGUUUUGUGCUUUAGGAUUUUCCUCCCUGCUUCCCCUUCAAUGUCAUUCACCUCCUUUUCCAAAUCUGUGUACUGAGUGACCCCUGGCAAGGGAAACUUCUCUAGAGAUUAGAUCUUGGGGUGGGGGGCUUCUGUUUCCAAUUUUGUCUCAUUUACACUGAACUGACCUGUUUGCUCUUCCUGUCCUUAUCUAUCUAAUGAGGAUAAUAAUAGUUCACAUGCAAACUGAUUCUCAGAUGAAAGGCAACUAAACUGUUUUUAAAUACUAUCAUCAUCCCCAAAUAGUGCUACUUUUUGGGGUGUACUGAGAACUCCCUAAAGACCCAGGAAUGCAAUGACCUAAAAGGCAGAAGCGCAGUGGUUAAGAGAAUAGCUGUCAGGGGCUGUGUGCUGCUGAGUGGGCGAGUGCUUACCUGUCAUGUUCCCCAGUGCCACCAAAGAUGAAAAGACAAAGCACAGACUCAGAGCCAGGCUGUCUGGAUUUAGAUGCCAGUCUUGCUUCUGACUAGUGAGGUGGGCCCCCUAAUGUGAAAGGGGGGCAUCACUGUGACCUCCUCAGGGGACUGCAUUUAGGAUUAUACAACGUAAUAUUUAUAACCUUCUUAGUACAGUGCGUUGAAUGUCAAACUGCUGUGUAAAUAAAAAUUUUGCAUUUCUGAUUAUGCUGGGGAAAAGGCCCCUUUGUCUGCAAAGACACAGUUAAGAUUGUUGUGGACAUGGCUGUCACGACUGAUAUGUUGUCCCUCAUGGGCAAAAGCAAGUUCAACAGAGAGGCUUCAGCUGGCACCGGAAGAAAGUGACCCUGUGAUGUAACAGCCCAUUGGUUACUGCUCUUUGAACAGUGUUGCUUCUCUGUCUCCUAAAAGGGAUUUGCUCCUGUAACCUUCCCCCUUUAAAUCAAAUAUCUAAAAUUGUAUUGUCACUUUAAAUUUAUUUAAGGUAUUUUAUUUCUAAGGAGGUAGAAGAUGUGAAAUGAGAUGAAGAUUGGAAUAAUGUUGCUAAUUUUUUUUCUGUGCCUAUUCAGAAAAAAGGUGGUUUUGAAUUUUUUAUUGGUUCUUUUUAGAUACACAUGACAGUAGAGUAUAUUUUGACAUAUUGUACAUAUAUGGAGUCUGACUUAUUCUAAUUAGGAUCCCAUUCUUGUAGUUAGAUAUGAUGUGAAGUUUCACUGGUGGUGCAUUCCCAUAUGGACAUAGGAAAGUUACAUCUGAUUCAUUCUGCUGCUUUUCUUGUUCCCAUCCCUGCUUUCUUCCCUUCAUUCCCCUUUGUCUAAACCAAUGAAUGUUAUUCUUCCCUCCCCACUCAUUGUUGUGUGUUAGCAUCCUCCUAUCAGAGAGAACAUUUAGCCUUUGGCUUUUGGGGAUUGGCUAUUUCACUUAGCAUGAUACUCUCCAGCUCCAUCCAUUUACUCACAAGUUGUAAAGGCAUUCUUUUAUGGCUGAGUAAUAUUCCAUUGUGUGUGUGUGUGUGUGUGUGUGUGUGUGUGUGUAUAUAUAUAUAUAUAUAUCAUAUCAUAUCAUAUUUCUUUAUCCAUUCACCUGUUAAAGGGUACCUAUUGUGAAUUGAGCUGCUAUAAACAUUGAUAUGGCUAUGUCACUGUUGUAUGUUGAUUUUAGAUCCUUUAGGAAUGAGAUAACUGGGUCAAAUGGUGGUUUCUUUCCUAAUUUUCUGAGGAAUCUUCAUAAUGCUUUCCAGAGUGGUUGCACCAAUUUUAGUUCCACCAGCAAUAUAUGAGUUCCCUUUCACACAUCCUUGACAAAUUUUUUGUUACUUGUAUUCUUGAUAAUAGCCAGUAUGACUAGAGUGAGGUGAAAUCUCUGUAUAGUUCUAAUUUGCAUUUCUCCAAUUGCUAGAGAUGUUGAACAUGUUUGUUAGCUAUUCAUAUUUCUUCUUCUGUGAAGUGCCUGUUCAGUUCCUUAGCCCAUUCAUUUUUUAGGUUAUUUGUUUUUUUCAGUGUUAAGUUUUUUGAGUUCUUUAUAUAUCCUGGAGACUAAUUGCUAAAAUACUUUCUAAACAAAUAUUUUCUAAAUAAAAAUAUCUCAUAAUUCAAUUUUAAAAAAUAGAUUUUACCUACUUUAUUGAACAAAGCCUGUCAAAAUCAGCGGGGGCGGGGGGGGCAUAAAAUGUUACUAUGUGGAUUUAUCAAACUUAUCCUCAAAAUUUUGGGUAGACCUACAGAAUAUUCUAGUCACAUUUUAAAAGAUCACACACACACACACACACACACACAAAAGAUCAGCCACAGUAACCUAUACUACUUUGGCUGGAUUUUGAGAAAUUCAGGUCUGUUAUGAUCUAAAAUACCUCUUUACUAGCUACAAGCUUUUAUAGAAACAUGUAUAAGAGAGAAAGAUGGAAAACCUUACAUGUUUAAGUUGCACUGAUAAAUCAGUGAAAGAAGCUUCCCCAAAAUAUCAUUUCUGUGUAUAGUUUGUAGAGCUCUUUAAAAGUUUUCAUUUGCCUGGGCCACAUACCAUCGUGAGAUUUGGGAUGGAGGAUGAGUAUACCUUUUUUUUUCUGAACUGAUAGGAAUAAUUUUGCUAAAAUAUUUUAUGAAUAAUCAUGAACCAAGCUCCCUCUUAGAUCAUUUGAGGAAAAAAUAAAUAAAUGUAUAGAAUUUGAGGACAUCGGAAUUGAUGUCCUUUAAAAGGCUGGGCAUGUGUAUAGGUGACCCAGAGCAGCUCCACAGCUUCCCUCAUCCUGACGGAUGGAUUGUGGGAAGGGCAUUUUUAUAGUUCCUUUUAAGGGCAACUGAGGCAGGGUGGUUAGGGAAGAAGGAAGGAAGAACUAUACUAUGGUUGCCUAUAGCAGGUCAAGAUAGAACAAACUGGAAGGCAAGCAGGUCCGAGGUGCCAGCUGGGAGUGGGUGGAAGGAAGACUUGCCAUCCUCUGAAGCACAGCAGUGGCCAUUUCAACACCGUUCCACUACUUCUGUCCUGCACACAAGUUAUCCUGGUGAUCCUAACUGUAAUACACCAAAGGUUAUGGAUUGAGUUACACUUAGAACAAUAAAUGUAUGGAGAAUAUAUAUUUAGGUGUUUUAUAAAUGCAAUUCCUUACCAUUGGUCCUUUAAAAAUAAAAUUGAAGGCUCAGGAAAUGUAGCUCAGUGGUAGAGCAUGUGCUUACCUAACUGUGCAAGGCUCUGGGUUCAAUCACCAGAACAAAAAAAUAAAUAAACAAAGGUUACAUUGUUGGAUAACAACUCAGUGAGGUUGUUACUGCCUCUCUGGUCUUUCUCCAAAAUAAUAAGAAAUCUUUAUAAAUAUUCAGAAGCUUUGACAAUAUCAAAGUGACCAGUGGAACAUUGCAAAUGAGCAAUAGAAAAUAUUUGCAAAACAAUCACCAUUUCAUUUUUAGAGAAAGCCGUUUUCUACAGCACUAGUUUAGCAUUUUUGUUUUCCUUCUUUUAAAAAGCCGACCCAAUGGAGAAACUGCUGGAAGAUGGUCUGAAAGGGAGCCCACUUCCCGCUCUCAUCUCCAUACAUUAUGGAUGCUUGGGGGAGGCUCCCUGGGGAAUAAACAGGCAAUUGAUUGCAAUGACUGUUCUCUAUUUAUUCCAGUAAUAAAAAUGAAAGACUGGACUGAACAUCAGAUAUUUUUUUUUCCUUGAAGAAUUUAAAGAAAAAUCGGUUUGUUUGAUGUUUUAUUACAUCUUAAGCAAUUAACCAAUUUGUAAGCAUUUAUUUUCUUUUAGUGCCAUACCACUCUGAAAGGAAUUGAUUUUCAACUCAUAAAUUCAGAUAUUUAUUUUCGACCUGAAAAUUUUCUAAUUCUACAGUUUCUUUUACCCGAAGUAGAAAUAAAUGUGGCCAUUGUAAAUGGUGCCAGGAGGUAAUUCAUGCCUCCACAUACAUUUAAUCAAUCACUCAGCAUACUCAUUAUAUAUGUGCAUUUGUAUCUAUUUUUAUCUGCUAAAAUGCUCUAGGCUUCUGGUAACAGAAAACUCAACUUAAAGUGGUUUAAAAAGUAAGGAAAAUACAUUAUCUCCCCAACAAGAGGGCUCAGAGUGGGGCGUCUCCAGGGCUGCAUGAUCUCGUGGCUCAGCUGUGCAGUGGAGAAGCCAUGAGCUCUCUGGGGCCUGUUGGCUGUGCACUCACACUGGCUUCUUUUUGGCUGUGAGAUGACUGUCACAAGUACACAAAUGAUAUGCCAUCCAGACGUCACCUCAUUCCCAGUAGUGGACGAGUCCAUCUCUUCUCCAAGAUGCCUUCUCUUAGACCUUCAGUUUUAUCAGCAAGGAUUGAGUUAUAUGCUUCUGCCCCUAACAGCCUUAGUCAAGGAGUGUAUGAGUAUUUUGUACAGAUGAGAGAUUCAGAUUAAACCUUAACUCUUCGGGAGGGGUGUAAACCCAACCACAUUUUGGCACUGAGGAGAAGGGAAGGUUGGGAUUGGCAGGUGGUCUGAGGAGGCAGGUGGCCAUUGGGGAGGGGACAACAAUGGAUUAGUCAGCUUUGUAUUAUAAUGGCAAACACCUGAGGUGAUCCACUUCAUAAGAGAAAAGGUUUGUUUGGGAUUGUAAUGCUGGGGGUCAGCCAUAGUGGGUUGACCCUGUUGCUUUUGGGUUGGUGCCAGGCAGCCCAACAUGGUGGGGGCAUAUAGUAGAACAAGGCUACUCAUCUCCUGUCUGGGACCCAGAGAGAAAGAAGGGGUGGGGUUCCACAAUUGUGUUCAAUGGCACAUCCUCAAAUAGCCUAGAGACUUCCCAGGAGGGCCCAGUCUUGAUGUUUCCAUCACCUCCCUACAUGGCCCAAUAGCACCAGGCUGGGGAGGAGAACAUUGACACGUGGUUCCUUGCAGGGACAGUUCAGAUCCAAACCACUGAAAAUUCCCAGCAUACUUGUCAUAAGUAUAGAUCUAUGAAGGUGAAUGACUGUUGCUGAAAAGUUCACUGUGGUUCCAGGCAGUCUUGUCCUUAAAAUGAACAGCUUAGAAUAAUUCAGACACCAUUCUGUUUUGUUUUCUUUUUCUCUGUUUUGAUUUGUUUGUUACAUUGUGAACUACUAUUAGAGUGUGGGAUGUCCAAUCAUCCUAAAAGGAUGCUUUUACCACUGAGCUACAUCCCAGCCCAUUUGAUAUUUUUUUUAUUUUGAGACAGGAUCCCAUUAAGCUACUGAAACUGGCCUCACACUUGUGGUCCUCCCGCCUCAGCCUCCUGAAUCCUUGUGAUUACAGGCAUGUGCCAAUGUUCCCCGUUUAUUAAAAAUCAUCAGAAACUAUUUUAUGUACAGGAUUUGGUUUAUUGGAUUGGUUUGGUCUCUCUCCUCUAUUAUAAUGUAAGUCUCUGUUAAAAUGUAAGUUUCUUGACAGCAGAUACUAUUAUUUACCUUGUUCACAGCUGCAUCUCCAACAUCUAGAGCAGUGUAAUCAGCACACAGUAGGCACUCAGGAAAUACUUGUUGGAUAAAUUAUAAAAUUGCAAGGAGCAUAUUGGAAUCCCUCACCAGCGACAAGUGUGGAAAUCAUGAACCUGACAUUAUAUGUUUUUAUAUUGCAAACCAAAAAUGUAAACUUAUCUUUUUAUACACAUGUGAUUAAGUUCCAUCUCCUGAAAUGGGAGGAGGCCACAGUAGUUAUCGCCCACUUUUUCCUUAAAGCAGUUCUGAUGUAGAGCAGAGGGAAGAGGCUCGUCUGUGCAACAGCCCAGUAUAACCUCUACAAAGAGCACAGCUUAAAAAACCACACCUGCGAGCACCAGAGUAACAGAGAGAGAAGACAUAGAACUUACCCAUCCAUUGGACCAAGACUGGCAGAAACAACACAGAAGAAAUCCAAGUGCAAGAAACAUGAAAUUCCAAGCUAGUGUGGACUGGUUUGAAAACCAUGAGAUGAUUAAUUUGCUAAACUCUAAAUAUACAAUUUGUUAUGCUCUUGCCAAAUUAUAUCAUGAAUAAUUGAAGAAGAUUGGAGAGAAUUGCCUACUCUGGAAGAUUUUUGUAUGGACUAUUUUAAUUAAUUUUAGGUUUAUUUAUACAUAUCUUUCCAAAUAUAUAUCCCCUGAGGGUGUUGAGAUUUAACAGUAUUUUUAAUAGCACUGAAUAUUUUAAUUAUCUAUGUUUUUAUCUAACACCAAGAAGUCAUAAAUCCUAAGAGGCAAAAGUAUCAAAGAAAUCACAUUUCCUCCUUUUUAAGUAUGUCAUGGUCUAGAAUAAGUAGGCACAUGUAAUAAUUCUAAUUCACAUAUGAACUACUAUUAGAGUAGUAUGGGGUGUCCCAAGAGUAGGACAAAGUAUAUCGUAACAAAUUAAAUAGAAGGAGAUAAAUAUUCUGGCUAAGAUGAUCAGAGAAUGGCCCAUGAAAGAAGUGCCAGUAGGUUUGAGCUUGUCAGUGGAUUCCAGAAGAUCAUUCUGGGUGAUUCCUCCAUGGGACUAGAUCAUAGUACAGUUAGCUACAGCCAUUAACCAAGUUUGUCUUCAAGGGAGUCAUUAUUGCCCCCCAAGUCUUUGACCUCAGCUAUGUCCUGGGCAAUGGUUUCAUGGGCAUCUUGGAGAAAGACUUAGAAAGUGAGCUUAUUCAGAUCUAUGUGUCAUAUGGAGCAGGUAGAAAUAGAGUUCACUAGAUGAGAGAGAAAGGAUGCAAAAAAUCUUAACUGUCUAGAAUGACCAAUGGAAUCUAAUAAGAUUUAAAAAAUUUUGAAAACAAAUAUAAAGCUGUUAACUUUGAUUCAUAAAAUAAAAAUCAUUGCCCAAGUGCAGGAUACAGUUUUCCUGGCUUAGGAAUGAAUACAAAGAAUACUUGGGGAGGGUCAGUUGAUACCAUGUGAAACAUCAACCCUAAAGCUAAUGCAACUAUGUUCAUUUACACUGAAGUUUAUUUACUUAGCUAAUAUUUUUAAAUUAAAGAUCUUCACAAUGUAUUAUAUUCCAAUUCAUGAGGUUUUGAGUCGCUCUGUUUUCUCAUGGACACUUGAGAACGCUAUCUUUUUUAUUAUAGCUCUCAGUGUGUGCCAUGUGAUUUCUUAUUGUGGCUUUGAUUUGGAUUCCUAGAACACUAAUGAUGUGUAUCUUCCCACGUGUUCAUUAACCAUUUGCCUUCUUUGAAAAAGAGUCUAUUUGAAUCCUCUGCCCUUUUGUAAUCUUUGGUGAGUUUUCAAGAGUUCUGUAUAUAUUUUGAAUACAAGUCCCAUGUCAGAUAUAUGAUUUGAAGAUAUUUUCUCCCAUCCUGUGGGUUCUUUUUGCUUUUUUGUUUAUAUCAUUUGCAACAAAAAGACGUUAGUUUUUCAAGUCUAAUUCAUCUACUUUUUCCUUUCACUGCUUGUGGUUUUGGUAUUUUAUCUAAGAAACCACUGCCUAACCCAAGAGCAUGAAGACUUACUUCUAUGUUUGUCUUCAAGGGAUUUUUUUUUUUUUUUUGCUUUCCAUGAGUUUCAUAGUUUCAGCCAUUAUAUUUGGGUCUAUGAUCCACAUUAACUUUUGGGUAUGAUGUAGGGAAGGUGUUCAGUGAACUUCAUUCUUUGCAUGUGGAUAUCCAGUUUGUAGCAAUAUUAUCAGUUGAAACAUCUACUCUUCCUUCAAUUAAUUGACCAGCUCCGUUAGGAUUGGUCUCUGAACUCUCGGUUCUACUGUUUAUCUCUGGGUCUCUUCUUAUGCCAGCACCACACUGUCUUGGCUAUUGAAAGCUUUGUACUAAGUUUUGGAAUUAGGAAGUACUCUUCUUUUUCAAGAUUGCUUUGCCUGUUCUGAGUCCCUUGAAUUUCUACAAUUAGCUUAGGGACACAUAUUUUAAGAAGGCUAUUCAUAAAAUGGAAUGGAUCCAGAAGACAUUAGAAAAAAAGAUUACAAAACUUUGUGGUGUUUAAUCUGCAAGAUGAGAUAUAAAAGUGGAGCAUGAGAGAUUACUUCAUAGGCUUAAAAGUUUGUUGUAAUGUGGAAAAUUAUUUCAUUAAAUUCCUUAUUACCCCAGAUGGUUGAAAUGACUGAGCAGGGAACCUCAGUUAAAUAUAGGGAGGAACUUUGUAAUAACAAAACUUAUUCAAAAAUAAAUAAGAUUUUCUCAUACUCUGAUCUACUCAUCUUUGAAAAGGUUCAAGCUAAGGCCAGAUGUCCUAUCAGGAGUGUUAUAGAAGAAAGGCCAGCAUUGGGUGGAAGAUAUGACUCUAUGAAAGAGGUCGGCACGGAUAGCAAUGAGAAAUAAACAUUGUUGUUCAUAUUAUCUCAAUUAAUCUGCUAACCUCAUGAGGUGGGGGUCACUAUUGUCCUUUUUGCUAGAUGAGGGAAGACCCCCAUAGGAGAUAUAACAGUUUGUCUAGGAACAUACAGUUAAAACAUGACUGAACUUGCAUUUGAACAGUUGUUUGUCACAAGUUCCAUGCUCUUAACCUGUGUAGUAGCAGACACAGAAAGAGAAAGAACUAUGAUAGAUGACCCAAAGGAAGAGGGACAAGAGCUAUUGAAUUUGCUAAAUGUGGCCAUUGAGUAAGAGUAUCUGGCCAAGGAUGAGUUCAAACUUUAAUAACAAAGAGACCUAUUAAUAGGAAUAUGGGAGGCAAUGGGAAAAACGGGUUUUGUGGGUCGAGAUGGUAAGCUCGUCCAUUCAACAACAGGGGUGUGCCAAUGUUCAGGCUUGAGGCAGGUUGGAAUCUCCACCCAGCCAGCUACCCAGCUCCAGCCUCCUUUUAUUUGCUUUAUUUUUUCACCUAAAUAUUCAUCUACCUUUUUGGAAACUAAUAUUGUACAUGUGCCAGGAACCAGUCAUUGGUGAUAGGAACAAAAAGAAUCCAUAUCUGUCUUGAUGGUACUUGCAGAGAGAGGGGAUGCGGGAGACACAUGAAGCAAGGAAUUGUUCACUGAUUAAAGGUCUCUAAAUAUCCCUCCACCUGUCCAAUUUACCCAAAGAGAGAAAGUUCUCGUUUAGUACAAACAAGAACUGCCUAGGUUAGUUGCAGGGUCCUGACACAACCAACUUGAAGAAGAGUUCUUUCCUUCUGUUGGAAAAUGCAUCCUGGAUUGCCAUCUCUGCAAAACAUCUUAACUAAAAAACUAGCAAAUUUAGCAAAAUUUUGUAAUUGAUUCAGGUGGUUCGUAAGAUUAAAUUUCAGUGGGUGGGAGUGUUGAUGCCACAUGUUAAUAUUUGGCUUCUACCACUGAGGUCCCCGCAAGGCACUUGGAUGUGGUAGGAUUCUUCACCUGCGUUGAGCAUGGCUGAGUUAACUAGGGGUGAACAGUGAGAACAAAAAGUGGGGCUGGGAGCUAGAGGACCUGCAGGGCUGAAAACCUUACCUCUACAAUCUGAAAUAUGCUCUAAAAUUCAUCCUUCAUGGCUCACAGGACUAUUUUUGGUUCGAGGUAAUCCAGGAUGGAAUCCAUUUAGGGAAAAUCUGUUAACAAACACCUGAUGUUGUGUGGAGUCCUGUCUUCAUCCCUCAACACCUCACUGUGCCACCUUGGCUCAGAUGUCUAAUGAAGACAAUGGCCCAAGCCUCAGGGCCACUUGUGUCAUAUGAUAUGUGUCGAUUUUAAUCACAUAACUAAAACAGAUUCUGCAAAGAACAAAAGUUAAAAGGCUACUGAUUGUGUGUGUGUGUGUGUGUGUGUGUGUGUGUGUGUGGUAGAGGUGGAAGCUUGGGGAAGGGGAGGUUAAAGGUCAAUUAACAGACCCUGAUUGCUGACCUUAUGUAAUCAUAUGCCUUAAUCUGGUUAAAUGAAAUCAACUCAUUGAAAGAAAAGACAAAAUCAGAAAAAAAAGAUAAACAUCUUUAAUCAAAAGGCAUUUUCUGCUACUAUAACCUCUUCUUGUCCUUUUGAUCUACUCAAUUAUAGAGAGAUAACUAAUGCUACCAUUGUGUCAGCAUGGUUAUUUUCCACAGACCAUGUUAAACUGAUUAAAAACUGUAAUUUUUAAAAUAUGUAUUUGUUCUUGAUUUUCUGUGUUGAAAUGGUACGUGAUCUCAGCAGUUGUCAGGUUAUAAUAAAGUUUCCAGGGAACCAAUGGUUGAUUCUUACAUGUUCUGAUGAGUCAAACCCAUAACUCCUUAUAUUUCUGCACACUAUUCAAAGGGACCAGUACAAACAUGUUUCUAGCAAUUAUAUGCAGUAAAUAAUAGUAGAUACAAAGAGUACCAUACUCAUGAGUCAAGGCCUUGCCUCUUAGAAGCACUCCUACCUGUCCCAAAAUGGCCUUGGAUUUUCCCAUUUGGCUAGUUUAAUAUUAUUUCUAGAACCUCUAUUAUAAGUUUACAGGUGGAUAAAGACUGUCAAGCUUUCAAAUGUCAGUCAGAAUUAAUGGAAACAGAAAAGAUGCAUGCAGAGACAGUGUAGGCUAGUUUUUUUUUUCUUUUUAUAUUUUAAAAUACUUCCUUCUGCUCAAGUGCUCUAAAGAUACUGUUCACUCAUAAAUACCAAGACACCAAAUACAAUAGCCUAAAAUCAGGGCUGUUAGAAACUUCAUAGCACCUUGGCCUUUGCACUUAAUGUGGUAAGGAUGUGGGUAGGAAAUGUUGCAUGCAAGAAAUUAGCCCAGGCUAUUCCAGAGGCAGGCAACAGAAGACACACAGACCAAAUGGAGGUGCUGGAAUCACAUACUUUGUUCAAUUGAUUGAAAACACACAGAUAACAGCAAGGGGAAAGGAUAGGGUCAGUUCAUGAGGAGAGGAUAUCAGUAGGUGACAGAACCUUCUACCUAAGUUCUGGAUUAUGCAGGUUCUCUGUUUCCUAUUUCUUUCUCUGCAAUGAUGGUGUGGUUCUGGGCCAACUGUGCAUUCUGAGCAAUGGGACCCACAGAAGAAGGCCCCUAGGCCAAUGACACACAGUUACUCUAUAGGAGAAAGUAAGGAAAAGAACCCCUGGUCAAUUAGCUUGCUGAACAGCUAAAGGUUUAAUCUGCAUCUUGGAGCAUAGUUCAUGCAAGAUCUGAAUAGUAUUGAAGGAUACCAGUGGGUGGCUAAUGUUGGGUGAACCAGCUAUCAGCUCAGAGGUAGCAUGAUCAAGACUUAUGACUUGAUAUUUCUAUCCAUUUCUGUCUAUAAAUGAGGGUCUUCUUUGUUCCACCAGAGAUUCCAUUUACUCUAUUUAUCUUUCUUUCUUUGGUACCAGGGAUUGAACUCAGGGCACUCGACCACUGAGCCACAUCCCCAGCCCUAUUUUGUAUUUUAUUAGGGACAGGGUCUCAUUGAGUUGCUUAGUGCCUUGCAAAAUAGCUGAGGCUGGCUUUGAACUCACAAUCCUCCUGCCUCCAUCUCCAGAGCCGCUGGGAUUACAGGUCUAUUUAUCUUUCAUAUGUCUUAGCAUAUCCUAAAUUACCUUCAGUUUAUCCAAACACAUCCUAUGAGUUGGCCUAUAUUACCUAAGGUACUCACUUAUUAUUACCUGUUCCCAUAAAUUCUUAUGGAUUUUGUCAUUCAUUUUGUUUUCUUAUCCUGUAGUGUAGAACUCGCCAUUUUCUAAUACGGUAACAAAUUCACAUUAUUAUCAGUGUGGGUUCUGAUGAAAAGUUUCAUUCCUACAUUUAUCAAGGAUCUGCAGAAUUGAAAAACCUUCAUGCAAAAACAGGUCACUUGGACUGGGCUUGUGGUAUAGUGGUGGAGUUCUUGCAUUGCAUGAGCAAGGCCCUGGGUUUCAUCCUUAGCAACACACACACACACACACACACACACAGAGGUCACUUGUGUAUGUCCUUCAGUGAGUUCAAUUAUUAAGUACUAAAUCCAAGUAGCCUAGACACAGUGCAGCCGUUUUAGAGUGGUAUCAGUAGACAUGACAAUGGGACUGUUGAAAAUUCCUUAGAUAUUUAACUUGCAUUCCCAUAGUCAGUGGGAAACGCCUGGAAAUGCCUAGCCCUCCAUUUGCUCUCUGAUUCCCUCCUACUCUCUCUAGCCUGCUUACUAUUGUCAAAAUGCUCCUGCCUCAUGACAGGAUGGUCAUGUCUUCCCAUUACACAUUGCUCAUGACACACACAAUUCCAGUAGAGACCAUUUACACCAGGUACCAAGAGAAUGACGCUCCCUGACAAUAGGCAUCAAGGUGGCCCUAGGUCAGAGCCUCUACACUCGCCUUCCGAGGCCUGGAAUGCACUUCCCCAGGUGGCCUUAGGACUUGCUGUUUUUUCCUUCAAAUUUUUGUUCAAUGUUACCUAGUCACUGAGCUUUCUCAAAUCACUUUUUGUAAAAUUUACCUAUCACCUCCCACCUGAAAACUUUUCAUUCCCCUUUCCUAAUUCCACUCCAUAGUACUUAUUGCCUUCUAAUAUAUCACAUAAAUUUUCCACUUGUUUAGGUUAUAAUAUCUUACCCACCCAUCCCUAAUGCACAUACAUAUAUUCCAAAUUGUAAAUUCUGUGGGAGAAGGCAUUUGUAUGAUUUUUGCUUGUUCCUAUGUUUCUAGGACUAGAAAAGUACCUAGCACAUAGGGGGUCCUCAAUAAAUAUUUAAUGCAUCUAUUCCACCUUCUUAUCAUAAUUACAUAUUCCCCUCCUAUUGAUUCUACCUCUCUACCAGGUUAGGUAGGGGACAAUCAUUAUGGAUCUGCUCAAAAUUUACUCCUAAGAGGUAUGAAACUAAGACGCUUCUUCACAGCAAAUGAAACAAUCAAGAAUAUGAAGAGAGAGGCCACAGAAUGGGAGAAAAUCUUUGCCAUCUGAACCUUAGAUACAAUAUCUCCAGAAUAUAUAAAGAACUCAAAAAACUUAACAUCAAAAAUUUUUUUUUAAAAAAUCAAUAAAUGAGCAAAGGAACUGAACAGACAGUUCACAAAAGAAGAAAUAUUAAUAGCCAACAAAUAUAUGAUAAAAUGUUCAACAGCUCCAGCAAUUAGAGAAAUGAAAGUUAGAACUAUACUCACUCCAAUCAGAAUGGCGAUUAUCAAGAACACAAGUAACAAUAAAUGUUGGUGAGGAUGUGAGGAAAAGGUACACUCAUACAUUACUGGUAGGACUGCAAAUUGGUGCAACCACUCUGGAAAGCAAUAUGGAAAUUCCUCAGAAAACUUGGAAUGGAAAACCUGACCCAGUUAUCUGGCUUCAAAUGAUGACCUAAUUAUCCCACUCCUCGUCAUAUACUCAAAGGACUUAAAAUCAGCACACUAUCGUAACACGCCCACAUCAAUGUUUAUAGCAGCUCAGUUCACAAUAGCUAAGCUAUGUGAACCAACCUAGUUGCCCUUCCACAGAUGAAUGGAUAAAGAAAAUUUGGUAUAUAUAUAUAUAUAUAUAUAUAUAUAUACACACACAAUGGAAUAUUACUCAGCCAUAAAGAAGAAUGAAAUUAUAGCAAUUGCUGGUAAAUGGAUGGAUGUGGAGUGAAAUGGAUGGAUGGAUGCUAAGUGAAAUAAGAAAUCCCAAAAAACCAAAGCCCAAAUAUUCUCUCUGGUAUGUGAAUGCUAACACACGACAAGGGUUGGAGGAGGGAAGAAUAGAAGUUCAGUGGAUUAGACAAAGGGAAAUGAAGGGAAGGGAGAGAGGAUGGGGAUAAAAAUUAGCAGACAGAAUGAAUCGGACAUAACUUGUCUAUGUUCAUAGGUGAAUACACAACCACGUCAUGUACAACCACAAGAAUGGGAAGUUAUACUCCAUGAAUAUAUUAUAUGUCAAAGUGCAUUAUAGUGUCAUGUAUAUCUAAAAAGAAUAAAUUUAAUUUUUUAAAAUUACUCCUAAGAGUCACUCUGGGAAACACUACCAUUCUAUAAACAAAGUAGCAGGCAGAUGGCAGGAAACCCAGUAAGGUUAAGGUCAGGUGGAAACAGAGACAAAUACUGAAUCUGUAAAGUACCAAAAACUUCACUGGUCUAUGAAUUUGUCAUGCCAGACAGUUGGGUCAACUAAUGAUAUUAGAAAUACUUAGGUUCUUGACUUUAUUUGGUGCUGCUAUAAUGGAAUACCAAAGACUGGGUAAUUUUUAAAGAACAGAAACAUGUGCUCACAGUUUUGGAGGUCAGGAAGUCUAAGGUCACAGAGCUGCAGGUUUCAGGUCUGGGGAAGGCUGCUGUCUGCUUCCAGAGAGGCACCUUGCACGCCGGAGGAGAGGAAGGCUAGACCCUUUGCAUGGCAGAUGGGCCAAAGGGGGACAUCUUUUUCUAACAGCAUUAACCCCAUGAGACAGGUCCCAGGACCCCUCAAAGUUCCCACCUUGUGGUAACGUCAAAAUGGCAAAUACCAUGAAUUUUGGAGGGGACACAUAUUCAAACCAUGGCACCUCUUUCUCUGGGUCCCAUUUAGGGGACUUUGUAACUUAUUUGAUAGGGCCGUGUAACUCACUGUUUCCACACACGUUUGUCUGACCAAGAUGCAUUUCCUUGGUUUAAGGCGUGAGCCCAGCUCUGUGCUCUCUCAUGAUCAAGGGUGUGGAUUUGAAAUCAGCCCAGCCAUGGGAACCACUGUGGACAGGAAGCUGACUCAGCUUGCUUAGUCUUCUUACUUUUCCAAAUCAGGACUCCUUUCCAUUGUCUGAGCUCAGACAUUUUUAAUUCUACCCCAGGUUCUGCUCAGACUUGCCAAUCAAUUUCAAGCAAAUCAUCGUACUAGCAUCUUCAUCUUUUAUCAUUUUAGCUCUUUCAUCUGUAAAAGUGGAACCUCUCUAAUCAGUCUCUCAACCGUGACACAGAGAGCAGCUCAAAAACGGUUCAUGAAAAAUGAUUUUUGGAAAUGUUGUCAUUCUAUACUAGUGCUUCCUUAUUCUUUUUUCCUAGUUGCAAAAACCGUUCUUCAUUCACUCCUCAUCCUGGUCAGGAUGGCUGGGGCAUGCCUGGACACCCAGCAAACAUGGUCCCUGCCUUGAGCUACACAGGAGCACUCAUGAGCAUGUCACGUGGGAGGUGACAGGUGUCAGCACCUGACCAUUGUUCAUGCACCAGCCCCAGCCCUCACCUGCCUUAACUCCAUCUCCCAGGACAUUGGCAUGUUACAGUAAGACAGAAUUCUUCUACACACUGUCAUUCCUUCUUAUAAAAAAAAAAACAACUGCAAUUAAAUCAGAGAAAUAUCACUGAAAGGCUCUAAAAUGUAAUUUCUAUGUGUGAGAGGAAGGAUAUUUCUGUUGCUUUCCUUUCUGGUUUUUUUCCCUUUUCUUUUUAUUUUCUUUUUUUUUCUUCUUUCUUUCUUUUUCUUUUUAACAUAUCUAACCAAGAAGGAAGGGAAACACUGGGAUGCUCCUAACCUGGAACUAAACACACGCCUAACUCAGCAGCUAUCAACACUUGGCCCACGAUUGCAUUGCAGUUUUAGUUGUCUGGGUUAAGUGUAGGGUAAAUUCAAAUCCUCGCUGUUUUCAUGGAAUAAUUGCUAAUGAAUAUAAUCAUGUUCCAAUGUCAUUUGUUUUAUUUGCAAGUUGGCAGGGUCGAAGAAGGCAGCUUUCUUUAGAAAUGAUUAGAACUUGGUUAUUAGAAUGAGGUCAUUGGUUUACAAUUAAGUCAUCCCCCCCACCACCACAUUAAUAAUAAUGGUGAUGGAACCCAGAAUCUUGCAGCUGGCUCUCUGGCAGAAGGAGGAGAGCAAGUUUUCAGGGCUCGGCUGCCUUCCCUGAGUCACAGGAACACUUUCCCACAGCCAAGGCUGCUGGGGGACGGCCCCCUCUUGCCACAUGCCUUGCCCUGGUGUCGAGCCUCUGUGGGCCAAGGCAGCUCGCAGCACUCGCCAGCUCCAAGCUGAAGGCCUUACGACAUGAUAGAGGGGAAGAUAUUUUAAAUUGAAAUCCCCUGUUGGAUUUAUUGUCACUUGAUCUGUGCUGAGCUAAUAAGGGGAAGAGAUAUUUUUCAAAGAAAGAGGAAAAAGUGCAGCCAACGAUUUUGUGCUCCCUGCGCAAGAAAAAUAUCUUCCUGCGGGGUCAGGAAGAGUUAUCAGCUGCAGAACUCUAGGCAGGAUUUAAUUUCCCAUAUCAUUAUUUUUGCCUCCAUAGUUGCCCUUUUUUUAAGUUAUGUUUUUAUCUCUUCCUUUCUUAUAAACAAAAAUCAUUUCAAUGUCUCCACAGACCUAUUUUUGGCAAGCUCUAAAAAAAUCUGUAAAAUAUUUAAAGCUCAUCAUGGGGGAAAAAAAUAUCCCCUGGAAUUAGAAUCAUCAGAUUCUAGCUUUUUCAGAUUCUAGGCUUUUUGAAAUUCUGUUGCUUUGUUACAUUGCUUCUAACAUAGCUCAGUGGUAGAGUGCUUCCUUAGUUUGUGUGAGUGUGAGGCCAUGGGUUUGAGUUCCAAUACUGGAAAAAAGAAUUGCUUCUAUCUAUUGCUUGGCUUAAGAUGGAAAUUAAUUAGAAGAGUCUAGAAAUGGGAAUGGAAACUUACCUUCUCACCCUGGCCGCAUUGCUAACUGAACAAGUCACUUAACCUAGCUGAAGAGCUGGGUUAUAUGCAUAUUAAGACCUCCAGCAAUCAAAGUGCCUCUAAAUGAGUAGACACUUGGAAGUGCUGAUGUCACACAUUUUCCUUAAAUGCAUGCUUUGAGAUGAACACUAUUUGAAAUUUAUGAACCCCUUACAUUAUGUCUAAGAUAUUCAUAGGAGUAUGCUUUUUGUAAAAUCUCAGGGUACCUAUUUGUAUUCUAUAUAAAUAUUUAAACAGGGAUUUUUGAACACCAAAAGCCAUCAUCAAAGAAGUAAGCUGCAGUAUCAGCUUCAUAAAGCAGAAAAUCUUCAUGGUUAAGAGUGUAGAUCUGGAGCCACUCACCUGAGGUUCAAAUCUCUGUCUGACACUUAUCUCUGUGACCCUGGGAAAUUGACCUUAGCCUCUUCCUCCCCCAACACAUUUAUUUGCACAUGGUGCUAAUUCCCAUGGUGACCUUGUAUGACGGUUGAAAUCGAGCAGAUAAUACAUUAGUAACCAUUACCUCAGUUAUUGGCACACAAAAGGCAUUCAGUGAAUAUUAGGUGUUAUUUUUAUAAACUGAGAAUUGGGUUAACAUGAAGAACAUGAAUCCUUCAUACAUGGAUUAUUACUUUAAAUCUUGGGGUUUGGAGUCUGAUUGGAAGAGUUGAAACAGUCAAGGUUGGCCUCUGUUAGCUUCUCAGUGCCUUAGUUACUUCUGUGACUAGACACUUUAAGUAAUUCAGGACUAUGUAGGAUUAACUAUAGCCAGUUAGGGUUUACUACUUAUGUACAGUUAGCUCCCAAGUAAAUGGGAAAGACUUCACUUACUAAAUGGUAAUUGGAAAUGGAAGUCUUUUUUCAUGUAUUUAUGUUUAAAUAAGAUCAGGAGUAAGAUUUUUUCCAUAUCAAAGAAAUCCCCACCUUCAUUAGAGAAAACGUGUUUAUUUUAUUCCAUUAGACAAUCGCCCCUAGCAUUUGGGGUUUAUUUCUGCCAGUCUUUUUUCUGUACAUACUACUUUUUGUCCAUAGUUGUAUUCAUGCAAUCUUAUAUCCUGUUAUUAACCUUCCUUUUUCUUUUUUUUAACCUAAAGACUAAUAUUUGACUUGAUUAUAAGAAACCAUUUUCCUUUUGUAAAUAACUAGCUAAAAUAAAGUCAUUGUGAUUCAGAGGGAUCAAAAGGGGUGGGAAAAUAUGUGAAUGACUUCUCCAUUGCAGUGGGAACCUGGAUGAAAACCCUCUUUUUGAAAGCCAAGAAGGCAAAGUUCCAUUUUUUUUCUUGGCAAGACGCUCUCUGAGACUCUAAGUGUCUUUGGACUCUGUAUUCUGGUAGCUUGGAAUUAGCCUGGGAACACUUUCAUGCCCAAGUGAUUUCAGAGUUUUUCCCCUAACGACAAAGAUUCAGAUUUCUAGUGUUCAGUCUUUCUCAAGGUCAAAUAAAGUAUGUGUAAUGUCCAUCUAUCUCAAGCCCCUUCUAUUUGUCCUUCAUACCUCAAUGUCUAUUGUAAUUUUCACAAAGAGGGUUUAUCAUAUGCGUGAUAGGGGGUGACCUUGAUAUUCCAUUAGUGUUACUUGCCCUAGUAACAAAUACAGAUUGCAUUUUAUUCUGAUUUCUUCUCUUUGGUGAAAUAUACUAUUUUGCCUUGGGCCCCAUAUGCCAUUGGUUCAUCUACUUUAAGGCCCAGUAUUUUUCAAAGAUUUUUUUUUCCCAUGGACUUGCCCAAACCAAAAAAGGAAAAAUAGUUUCCUCCUUCAGGACCAUGGGCUGAGGCUGUGUGCUGUGUACAUCUCAGUUCUCUCCUGUGGACUUGAAAUAUGUGCUAUUUUUACCCUUAAUCAUGGUAUAAAUCCCAUAUGUUGGCUGUCCCCUGAAAAAAGAAUGUUUCAGUUGGCAGAUCAUGUGGAAGAAUUAGAAUUAGAUCUGAUCAGGAAACUUGAAAUCCUGCCUUAAAGCUGAGCUCUCUAAACAAUUAUGACUCCCACUGUUGAGCUUUAUCAACUUGCUAGUUGCUGGGAAGACCAUGGAAAUGAGUUGGUGACCGAUCUUAUGAUUGGCAGAAGGGAUAGAAGGAAGCCUACCUUAUAGUGAAAUCAAACCUGAUCUUCCCAAUUAGGGGACGAAGGGAGGCUGCCACUGAUUGUGGCAGGGAGACUGUGGGCUAAUUGGCAAAGGCUCACGGUUUCUCCUGUGAGAGCCACACCAGCCUGAGGGUUGCCUUCCGCCCUCUAAUCCGACUCUCAGUUGCCAGCCUGAGGCCAUUCUUGGUGUUCCCUAGCACACUGAGAUGAGGCUGGGACAGUUAAAAAAGACCUGACCAAAGGACCAGCGAUAACAAAAGCAAUAGAACAGCACUCCACUAACUGCACAUGCUGCCCCGCUUCCAGCUCUAGGCCUGCCUCUAGGUAAUAACGCCAUUUUUCCCUCUUCCCUGGCAGGGACCAGAGCAUCCUUAGACUCCUCCCCACCCACACCCGACUGCCUACUGAGUUCUGGUUCCUGACCUCCAGUACAUGUUUUGCCUGCCUAUUUGACACUGGAAAACAUUCUCCUACCCUACAGGGGAGAUGGCUGUCCUCACAGGGAAAGCCUUUCCCAUGGCCUUGCCAUGAGAACCAUAUCAGAAUGUUGCAUCCACACAUUGAUGGAUGAACACGCCCAGUGCAGGAAGUUGUUCUAUUAUAAAUGGUUAUUACAAUAAUACAAGUGUCACAGACAUAAUCAGAGUGUGGUCCAGCAUUCCUGGGUGCUGAGGAUCUACUCUAAUAGAAGGAGAAGGACUAUGGGAUGAAGAAGUAGAUCUCUUUCCAGGUGCACAGUUCAGGCCUACCAUGCCUUUCAUAGGCAGGACUCUGAUGCUCUCACAUGACAGUUUCCAGAAGGAACUGCCACCACCAUAGUUGCUGUUGUUCCUCCUGAGAUCAUGUCUGGUGACCACUCUCCCAAGGAAAGUGGAUCACAGCUGUGCUCCUCAUCAGAGGGUGCCUCUCCAGGAGGGAUGAUAGGAGAAAGGCCACUUGGCAAAGUAGAUUUGUUCUGCCUGGCUGGAAUGAAAAAAGAACUUCAGGUGAGUUCACGGGCCCUGGGGCGCGCUCACGGGCCCUGGGGCGCGCUCACGGGCCCUGGGGCGCGCUCACGGGCCCUGGGGCGCGCUCACGGGCCCUGGGGCGCGCUCACGGGCCCUGGGGCGCAAGCGUGCGCGCCUGUGUGUGUGUGUGUGUGUGUGUGUGUGUGUGUGUGUGUGUGUGAUUACAAGCUGUCUCUCAGUGUUCCUUUUUCAAGCCCACAUUCCAGUACCCCAGGUUCAACUCAAUUGGCUGCCAGGAGCCCUCCCAAGAGAAACAGCUGUUUGAUGCUUUAAAGAGAAAAAAGUGAAAGUUCAUGAGGGUUAGAAUUUUAGGCUCUGCAAGGGCUGAUAACUUCCUCUCUGCUUAUGAAAACAAACAGCACUGACUCCUCUCUUUCUCAACGCAAACAGCCCCCAAUUGAUUGCUUCUUUCCCAAACUCAGUUGUAUCAAGGUAAAGGUGAUAUCCUGUAACCUGCAUUUAAGUUACAGAUGCUGCUAAUAAAAUUAAUUCUUGGUGUUAUAGCUUGCAUACUAUUUAUCAUUAUGGAUGCAAAAUAGAGACCAGUUAAUUUCUGCUUGAGGCUGGAAAGUCUCACCUUCAAGGAACAAAGUGUCAAUCUAACAGAAGUCAUUAUUAAUUUGGAAAUGCUAAUUGCCAACCUAGAGCAAUUCAUUAUCUCAAAUAGUGUCGGUUGUCUCUGCUGUGGGGCUUUAGUGUGGUUAGGUACAGAAGUAGCAAUAUAGUUCAUACUAAUUGAAGGAGAUUUUUUUAAAAUUUCCUUUUGGAAGACAUGUAAGUGAUGGAAGGAUGGAGUAUGUUGCUUUGGUUUUGUUGUCAAGUUUGAGAAAAUAAGAAUUCAGCUGUGAAAUAUCUUGUCCCUAAUAUUUACAUACAUAUGUGCAUACUCACACUUUAUUUUCUCCCUCCUUUUCCCUAUCUUUCCCUCCCCCAUGGAUUACCCGUAUCCUUGAGAGUUGAAAAGACAAUGAAAUCAGAAACAAGAGCUAACAGGAUAUAUAGCUAUAGAUAAGUAGAAGUCUUUUCAUUAUUAUUUUCCUUAUCAUCAUUCAGUUCAUGCAUUUUCCUCCAGAUACGCUUCUUUAAAACAAACAGCAGAUUUUUCUGGGUGUUGGAAAUGAUCUGUGAUAGUGUCGAUACCAUUUGUUUGUGUUAUUUCUCACAUUUUUCAAUAAAAGUAUUCAUCCCAGACUGGUUUAUUCUUGAUUCAACUAGCUUUUCAUCACUAGUUUUUAGUGCCAAGUACAAAACAAUUUUCAGUCCCAUGAAAUAUUUGCAGAUCUGAUAGACAUAAGACAAUAAAAUGAAUUCUUUAGUGAAACAAAAAUAUUAUAAGGAAGGGAUUAUUUUAUAUCAACCAUAGUCAGUUCUGUAAUAUAUCUGAUGCUUGCAAACAGACAGAUGAAAGAUGUUAAUCCUCCAAAGUAUUGUUCAGACUUUUGUAAUGAAACAGCAAAUUUGUUCAAAAACAAAAUGAUUCAUCAACUGAACCAAGAGUUUGCAUCGCUACAAGUUUACUAGUCUACCAAAAAAAGAAUCACUUUUAUUAUUCCGUUUAGUCAUUCACUAGGUAUUUAUUGAGUUCUUCCUUGGUGCUAUGCAUUUGCACUGAGGGUUUGGAAUGCAGAUGGGUUCUCAAGGAGUUUACAGUCUACUGGGGACACAAACACUUUCCAUAAAGUCCUGCUGAAAAUAAUGGAGGAAGGCCAAGGUCAAUGCAGUGGAGAAUCUGAUUCUGGAGGCAGAAUGUUUAUUUUGUUCAUUUUGCCGCAGUCCUCAGUCUAGCUUCACAAGUUCAGAAGCCUUCGCAUAGAAGGUUUCUCAAAAGUGAACUCACAUUGGCCACAUAAUUAGAAUAAUUAAUAAUCAACCAAAAGGCCAAUUUAUUAAUCUCUCCUGAGAAAUAGAAACACCCAAGGGUCCUGACUCUUGAUUCCCAUGGCCAGCACUCCAGCACAGACACAGUGGGAGCUAAGUUAUCAUCAGAAGACUUCUGGUAAGCAUGAAAUAGAAGAAAUGUGUGUCUAACAAAAGACUGUGAGAAACUAUAAAGAUGCCGGGUAAAGAAAGUCAGGUUCAUCCAUCUCCUAGAGUGGGAAGUCCUGACACUAGGUAGGAUGAGUUAAAGCUUUGGGCAAGAACAUCUUCUCCCAUGGACAAUGAGUACCUCCAUGGGCAGAGCCAAAGUUGGCCCAUCCCAAACCCUCAUGUGGAUGCCUUCUACUGUUUCCAUCCAGCAGUGCUGACGGAACACACAAAAGCUGUGGUGACGGAGCUGUUACUAGCUUGUGAAGCUAGACUGAUGCUAGAUAUAGCCAUCCCAGGGGUCCAAAAUCUGGACUUGUGGAACCCAACGCUUAUAUAAGUUUGUGGGACCUCUUAAAGGUAAAUAAACCUUUAUGAAUAAAAAUUAAUUAUGGAAGUGAAUAUAUAUUUGGAAGGUUCUCAUGCAAGUGGAGAUCGAUUCAUUUUAUAAAAAAUCCACCUCGCUACAAUCCAAUUGUUAAACUUGUAAAUACUUUCAUGUUCGUUGUUAAAGCACUACCACUUUGGCCAUCUUGACCCAUCCCUAGGAAACCCUAGACAUCCCCAAAGUCCAACAACUGAAGAAUCAAAGCCUGUAAUUAUAACAUCUGUUCUGCUUGUGGUGACAGGCAAGUAUCUCUUAACAGAUCUGUCUCUUUAAGAUACCCUAUGUGAUUCACUAUGUAUUGAUUUUGCCACUGAACGCUCGGUUCUUUAGUUCAAGUUCUCAAUAGAAACUUCAUGGUAAGUCUUAAAUCCUGACAAAUAAUACAAGUCAGAAAAUACUUAAAAUUCCUCUCCAGUCCUCCAAUUACCAAAUAAUAGACCUGAGUGGAAGCCUCUCUCUUAAGCAAUACUCUCUUCUAGGGCAUUCCCAGGAGGAACCCCUAAGGAUGAAGCUAAGUGAGGGACGCACCUAGCAACAGUUACAGCACACAUUCCCAAAAGAAUAGGAGAAAAGAUAGUAGGGGUGCUUUCUUUCUUUGUUUGUUUUAAUCUAAAAGCCAGCACAGAGCUUUCCCCAUGGAAAAGUUGAUAAAUAAUUAAGAGAAGAAAGAAGAGGGUUGGGGUGUAGCUCAAUGGUAAGGUGCUCGCCCAGCAUGUAUGAGACCCUGAGUUCAAUCCCCAGUACCACAAAAGUUAAAAGAGAGAGAGAGAGAGGAGAGAGAAGAAAAACAACAAUCAGCAAAUCUGUUCUUAAAUUUAUAGCUCUUUGAAGGCAUAAAAUGUAGAAUUCAUGAUGCAAGGUAUAAGUCCUCAAAAUCUACCCCCUCCAAAUUUAGGUAUAUUUGGAAUAAGAAACCAUUCUUUAAAAAAAUAAAAAGCAAUUACUAUAUUUGACUAUGGAAGAUUGUUUUCCACAAAUUCAUCAUCAGCUUAGUGUGAUGUUUGUUGUUCUUUGGAACAUUUGCAACGUUUUCAAUUUCAAGUCAAAAAGAAUAGUUCACAAAAGCAGUCACUUUUUCCCACAAGUGCCAGAAGAGGGUUCAUUUGGUGCUAAAGCAUCUUUACAUAAUUUGGAGCUGCGUGUUCCCAAAGGGGCAGAUAUACAAAGGACACUUGGAGAAAAUUUGCUUCUUGUUGAAGCUGUGAAGUGUUGAUAGAACUAUCUUCUUCUGACAGUCAGUGACAACCACUGGGGAUGUUGAAAGUAAACAAGCCAACGUGGUCUUCUGCUGCAGUCUGUCCUUUUAUGCUAAUUUGCAUAAGACUGACAAUUGGGAUUCAAUAUUUUACAUACUGAGAAAGCAAGGCAUGUUGUUCAUAAAAAUUAAACAACUUGCCUAGUACAGGGUCUGGCUCAUAGUAAAGGUUUGGUGAAUGACUGAUGACAGCGGUUGAAUGAAUGUAUGAAUGAAUGAUUAAAUAAACAAGCCAGCAAUAGCCUUCCUCCCUAAGAAGGCUUACGGGUGGAAAAAACAAAUUUACAUUUUUUACUGAUUGUCUAGCAAAAAGUAUAAAGAUCCUAAGGCAGUGGAUGGGGACUUUGCUAAAUAUAUGCCUGGCAGUAUAGUUUCCAGCUCAAAGAAGCAAUUUAUCAGAAUGAAUGCUAAGUGCAAAGACUGUAAGAUGUUGAUAAACUUGUGAGUGAGUGGAUGGGUGCCACAUGGCUUAUGGGGAGACCUGGAGGAAUAUGGGAGUGGCAUCUCAGAGCUACCAAGGUGCCAUAUGUAAGCCAUCUAUGUGAGGUCAAGGUGGGCUUUCAGUCCUUCUAGGAGAUGUCAGGGCACAGUGAGGAAGGCAUAUCUGAUCCAGACAGUUGGGGUGCCCAUCUGUGGCUUAAUAGCCAUUCAGCCUUGGCCAAGUUCUUCCCUGAACCUCAGUUACCUCAUCCUUAAAGCAGUGAUAAUAGCAUAGACCUCUCCAGGUUGCCGUUGAGAAACUGGUAAUGAUAACUAAGACUUACAUAUCAGUUACGUGCCAGGAACUUUUGUAAGCACUUUAUAUACAUUACCUCAUUUAAACCUCACGAGAGCCAUAGGAGACAGGAAUCUCUCUUUGCAAAUGAGGAAAACUGAAGCAGACAGAGGUUAUGAAUUACAAUAGAUUCUCGGUAGAUUAUAAUGACCAUUAUUUAUUGUCAGGGUCCUAAGUGUUUUACAUCCAUUCUCUCACUUGAUUCUCAGAACAAACACCUGUGCUGACAGUGUUGCCCAGCAUGUGGCAGGUGUUUGAUAAAUUUGAUAAAUAUUUGCUAAAUGAGAGAAUGCAUCUUCCCUGUACUGGAGAAUUAACUGAGGCUUAGAAAGGUAACGUGCCCAGUCACACAGCCAGAACAUGACCCCCAAAAUAAACUCCAAGGCCUGUGCUCUUAACCAUGCCAGUCAUUUAUGGUCUGUGCAUUCAUCCCCCUGGAAUCUGAGAAGAAAGGCCCAGGGGGGCAGAGGUGGUGCCUAACACCUGGACAUAAUAAAAGUCAUCUCAAAACAGCUGAGACACAACACCUUCAGGCUUGACUUGGAAAACGUGGAAUCAAAAGUCUUUCCUUUCUCUUAUUCUUUUUCCUCUCAUUUCUUGAUAUCUACCUCAGCCCCUAGAAAUCUUUUCUCUGCCACCUCGAAUUUCUAAUUUUGGCUAGCAGAGAGAAAAAUAUUAGAAAUCAUGCUCUGAGCUAUCCAUCAUUUAGCUAAGACUUCUUAAGGGUUCUUAAGUAAUCAGCCAUUUGAGGUUUAGGAUUGUGUUUGAGGGAGGAGAGCCGUAAUGAGACACAUCAAGAAGUGUGAUAUCCGUUUUAAUAUGUAAUUCUCACAGGCUGCAAGUAACAGGGUCCAGGAAGCCUAAGUCUUCAAACUGGCUUUAAGCAAAGAGUGAAAUGUCUCUCAAAAUAUCAUACACGGGUUUGUAAUUAAACACAAACCUUAAACACACUACCUUUACGUGUAUUAUUUCCAUAAUAUUGAUAAGUUAACAAAGCUUCCAAAAAUGAUGUGUUUGAUUUAGAAUUAGAAACCGUAAUGGGUGUUUGCUUCUAGCGUAGUGGACUAAUUGUUAAAUUUUAUGAUUCUUAAUGUUUCAGUACCUUGAUGUGAUUAAGCAAAGAUAAAAGCAGAUUUUUUUUAAGAGAGAAAGAAAGACAAGCCCAUUAUCAAAUACUAAAGAGCUUCAGUAACUUCGUGCCAGUCUCUGAAGGACACUGUGCCUCAUUAUGACAAGGAAUUAUUCAUAAUGUGUGCCUAGCAUAUAGAUUGCAUCCUUUAUUUGAAACAAUAAAAGAGUCAUCCUCAGUAGCUGAUGGAAAUAAAUAGGCAGGCAAAAUUUAAAGGGAGGGGAAAAAGACCAACCAGUAGGCCUCCAUAAUAAUUGCUUGUCACCGUAACAUCAAGUAGUUCAUCCUUUUUAAGGACUCCUUAUGUGGCUUGGCCAUUAUGUUCCAUGGAUGGAAAGAAAAUGCAGUAAUUCACAGAAAAGUAAUGACAGGAUUCUGCCGGUUUACCUAACAGUAUUGACUAGACAGGAGAAUUAUGGCUUGCAAGCAAAGAGUGAUUCUGUAUUUGGAAUUGUUUUGCUGCCUUUCUGCCCAAUCAGAAUUUUUCUCAUCUUAAAAAAUAUCAAUACCCUUGAAAAAUAUCAAAGAGACGACUGCCAGCUUUUUUAUCUGACUAUAACUGUGCAGUUUCCAGAUUCUUGCCCAAUUACUUGCUUUCUGAACCUCUACUGUUGCACUGUUGCUGGGAGGAAAUAAGGAAGAGACGCUAUGCUUUAGUGCCCCUUGCUGGUCAACCUGAAGAAAAUCUGAGCACAAGAAUCCCAGAACCCAGGUUUCCAUAAGUGGAGCUGCACAUUCUAUGCAGAUGGGAGGGAGGCCAACCUGCUUUGGCUCAAAUAUCUACAGCAAAGAUUAAGAAUCCAAAUGCAAUGAUACAUUUGGAAAUGCACAUAUCCCCUUAGGACAAAAUGUAAUGUAAAGAAAAGCUGUGUGUUAAGUCUUAUCCUAACUUCAAAAUAAAUCCAGGUAACCACAUUACUACAAAUGUUCCCCUUAUGAAGUAGCUGAAGCUCCUUUCACCCAGUAUGAUUUUGUUUAAUUAUCCCUUCAAUAAUGUCUGGUCUCUCAGACCAUGAGAGAAACAAUAGAUACUAAAAAAAAAAUUCCUAGAGGAAUUCUCCAUUAAAGUUCAAUAAUAAUAAUAAUAAUAAUAAUAAUAAUAAAACUUCUAUCUAAAGAGGGAAAAUGUAUAUCUCUAGUGAUGCAUUAUGUGAUUGAUAAUUACAUUAUAACCUAUAACAAGUGUAUCCUGAUUAUGGAGAAUAUUUUUUUCUGUGUUUGUCAUUUUCUUUUAGACUGUGACUAAUUUAAAACACUAGCUACAACAGGACUACACUGACAAGCUGUCCAUCAAGGCUAAUUAACUCUUAGGAUUCCAGGGAACUAUUAGACCUGAUGCAUCAGCCCUACUUGGAACACCACAAGAGCUGGACUUAGGAUUCCGUCUCCUCCUCCACAAGGUGCCCAUCAGGAAUUUGGGUUCAUAAUAUUCAUCUCUGUGACUAGGAAAAGUAUAUUCAGUUACAUUGACUAAGACUGAGGCACAUGAGGAUCAGCUGUGUGGUACCCUUGGCACAUGAGCAGAUCAACCUGUGAUUUCUUGAGCUGCAGAUAGACCCCAGCCACAAGCACCAGAGAAAGCUGGUCCUUCAAAAGCCUGGGAAUCUUUAAGGAAAACAGAAUAACCAACACAGUCCUGACAAAGAACAAAGCUAAGUAGCUCACACUUCCUGAUUUCAAAACUACAGUUUACAAGACAGUAAAUAGGACAGACAUAUGGAUCAAUGGAAUAGAACUUAGAGUCUAAAAAUAAACCCUUAUAUUUGUGAUCAAUGGAUUAUCAUCAAGAGUACCAAGACAAUUUAAGUGGGAAAUGAAUAGGCUUUCAACCAGUAAUGCUAGGUUAACUACAUAUUCUCAUGUGAAAGAAUGAAGUUGGACAUCUGCAUUACCUGGAACAGAGAAUGUAAGAAAACAAUAGGACUAUUAGAAAAAAAUGAGUAAAUACUUGUAAUUUUGGACUUGGAAUUAUUUUUUUAAAGAAAUUACACCAAGAAAGGAAUCAAUAGAAUGAAGAAAAUAUGACUAACAUAAUUAAAACUUUUGUGCUUCAAAAGGCUCCAUCAGUAAAGUGAAAACACAGCAUAUAGAAUGGGACAAUUUUUUUGCAAAUCAUGUCUGAUAAGGAAACUGUAUCUAUAAUGUAUAAAGAAUGAAUCUCAAUGAUUACAAAAUUUAAUAUGUAAUUGCCAAUUUAAAAUAAGCAAAGCCCCUGAAUAGAAAUUGCCUCAAAUGGCCAAUAAGCCAAUAAGCACAUAUGAAGAUACUCACAACACCCGGACAAACUGCGGAAGUGCAAAUCAGAACCAUAAUGCAAUGCCACUCGGCACUCACUAGGAUGGCUAUAAUAAAAAGGAGAGAUCCUAACAGGUGUUGACAAGGCUGCAGAGAAGUUGCAACCCCCAUUCAUUGCUAAUGUGAAUAGAACAGGGCACAACCAUUCAUAAAAGGGUCUGACAGUUCCUCAAAGGUUCCCCUAGGUUCUCCAUAGAAUUCUCAAAUGAUCCAAACAUUGCAUUCCUAGAUAUUUACUCAAGAUAGAUGAAAACAAAAUGUUUACAUGAAUAUUCAUGGCACCAUUACUCACAAUAUCCAAGAGGUAGAAACAAAUGAAAUUACAUACGCUACAACAUGAACUCAACCUUAAAACCAUCAUGCUAAGUGAAAGAAGCCAGACACAAAAGGCCACACAUUGUUCUAGUCCACUGUAUCAGUCUGCUAGAGCUUCUACAACAAAAUGCCAGAGUGAGUGACUUUGACAACAGGAGGCUGGAAGACAUGAUCAAAGUGCCCUCGGAUUCUGUUCCUGAUGGGCUCACUUCCUGACUUGUGAACAGCCUUCUUGAUGUGUCUUCACUCACCCUUUCCUCUGUGUUCCUGGGAGAGAACCUGUGUUCUCUGGGAUGACUUCUUAAAAGAAUACCAAUCCUAUCAGAUCAGGGCCCCACCUUUAUGACUUCAUUUAACUUCAAUUAUUUUCUUAUAGACUCCAUCUCCAAAUACAGCCACAAUGAUGGUUAGGACUUCAACAAGUGAAUUUUGGGCAGGGAUACAAACAUUGUAAAUACUACACAAAAUACUACAGACUGGGUGGCUUAAGCAAUAGACAUUUAUUUUCCAACAGUUCUGGAGGCUUAAAGUCCAAGAUCAAGAUGUUAGUAGAUUCAGUUCCUCCUGGUGCCUCUCUCUUGGCUUGCAGAUGACUGUCUUCUACCCAUGUCCUUACAUGACCGUUUUUUCUGUGUAUACACACUUCUGGGGUCUUUCUGAUCUUUACAAGUACAUCAUUCCUAUGAAAUUAGUGACCUGCCCUUAGGAUCUUAUUUACUCUUAAUUACCUCCUUAGAUGCCUUAUCUCCAAAUAUGAUCACUUUGGACUUUAGGGCUUUGAAAAAAAAAUUGGUGUCAGAAGACACAAUUCAGUCUGCAACAUCCACUUGUAUGAAAUUUUGAAUAGGCAUUUCUACAGAGAUGAAAAGAAGAUCAGUGGUUGCCAGGUUUGGGUUCAUGGGAGGACUGAGGGUGACAGCUAAGAUGGAGUGAGGGCUUCUUUGGGGGUGAUGAAAGUGUUUUGAGGUUGAUUGUGAUAGUAGUUGCAAAUAUCUGUGAACAUGUAAAAAGCCCAUUGAAUUGUACAUCACACAUGAGUGAAUUUUAUACCAAGUGAAUUUCUAUAUCAAUAAAGCUAUUGAAAAAACAAAAGCAUAAGGGGCAAAAGACAUCAUCACUGAAGUGUUUCAGAGGUGGGAGUACUGUACCUAUAAGCCCAGAGUUCAGAGCCAGGACCAGUCUUUAAAUACCUGCAAGGAUGGAGGAGCCCAGUUCUUAUCUUAACCCUUGUACAUUAAGGCAUGAUAGACAAAAAGGCAAGUGUCAGAUCUGGGGCACAUGGUUGGUGCCUCCCUGGCAGCUAUCUUGGCUUGAACUUCAGUCACAAAGUGUUGGCCUAGAGCUCCUUAAAUUCCUAUCCAAGGCUAGCAUUGAUCUCAGAAACCAAAGAAUG
rnacentral:lncRNA from 1 species